UUUCACAUUAAAAAUAAACACCUUGCUCCCCUUGCACAGCAGGAAGCAGAAUUACACACUUCAUUUGGCAAAUGCUGCUUUAAAAAAUCAGAAUCAUAGCACAGUGUAGCUUGGAGGGGACAUCUGGGUGGCACUUAGUGCAGCCCACUGAUCAGAGGAAGGUUACUUGCAAAGUCAGCUUGGGUUGUCCAGAGCCUUUUCCUGUAAAUCUUGGCUUGAAGAAAAGUGGCAAAUUCCUCUGUUGAGUGAGAGCAGUAUUAUAUCAUGUAAAUGAAGUGGCAGCAGCAGGAUCAAACACGUCUUAAGAUGUUCCCAGAGACACCAAUGCUGCCAGAGAAAGACAUCUCUUCUCUUUCAUUCUGCAUUUGCAGGGCAUGGGAAAAAGAGACAGUAGAGGCUGUUUUCUUUAUUUCUCAAUUAACAAAGUCUUAAGAGUGAUGAACUUUGCAAUGACUUUGCUAUGGUGCCUCAGAGACGACUCCAUGUGCACGAGCAGUAGCAACAGAAUAUGGAUGAUGAAAAGAAGACAUACAAUGGGGUGCAAGGAAAAACCUCUGUCUCCCUCUUUUAAAAACAUUUGAUGGCAUCCCUUAGUGAGAAAAGUAGGAGAUCUUCAAGCUUCCAGGCUGUUAGAUUUUGGAAAAUAAGGUGGUGGAUAGUGGAGAGGGUAAGCUGUCACAGAGGCUCUACUUCAUCCUGCACUUCAAAGAAUUCUGUGGGAAUAAGUAUGUGUUGCAGCUGCCACUCAAGGAUUUUCAGUUCAGGCUUUGCUUUAUUAAACUCUAAAGACUCAAAGCCAGAGCGCACCACACUUCUGCGUGCAGAGCAGCCUGAGAUCUGGACCAAAGCUAGUUUUAAAUAUGAUCUUAUUCUGUAUUCUACAUUAUAGUGAAGAGUAUGUCUUUUAGACCAAAAUAUAUGAAUAUGGACCAACAAAUGUAUAAAAGAUGAAAUUCUUCCUUACACCUAAUUUUGUUAAAGAAUUGAGCAGCUUCCUAGUGCCAUGGUAUCUUACGUCUGGCAGGCACCACUUAGCCAUUCUCAGCAGACAGGUCCAAAAGGUCCUCACUCAGGCCCAAAACAAUAAAUUAUCACUAAAUGUGGAAGCUGCAGUUUGCAUUAUCUUAUUUAUGUUUGUACUCACAAGAUG